UGAACAUAGCGGCCUUCAUAAUGAGGACCCAUGCUGUUUAAUAAAAUAGUUCAUUCUCAGCCUCCGCAACAUUUCAGUCUUGAUCUACAGUGAGUCGAGAACUCAAAAUACAUAAUUAAAGUCCCCCUUCACUCAAAAAAUGUGGUUUGCUUAUUGUUGGGUUUUUUUUGUUGUUUUUUUUUUAUAGUGACAAAACCUAGAGACGGGGAGAGAGAGGGGAGGACGUGCAGCCAAGGGCUUGGGCCAAUACAGUAUGUGGUACCUGCUAUACCUGCAACUGGCUGAUUUCGGAGCGCAGACUGCCGACGAGUUGACCCUAACAGAGGAACGUGGAGGACCAGCAGACCAAAACUGCAAACAAAAAAGAUUGGAAAUGGAUUGGCAAAUGAAGUCACAACUGUCCCUUGUGGGCAGAAUAUCACAAAUUAAAUUAUGUGGUUGCGCUGGAGCUGACAGAGCAAUGUACAUGUUGCCCGUCAACACACAGCACCAGAAUGUUUUUCCAUACAGUAACUGGCAUUUUACUGUAUUAUCCUGCCCUUCGGUGUUGUUGUAAAUAUUGGAAAUAUAAGUUAAAUGCACAUGAACAAUGCAUGAGCGACUGGGAAUAUGUCAUCUUCGAUUUGCUUAGAUAGUGCCCUGCAUACAUGAAAUAAUAAACUAGCAACGCUUUGGUACAAAUAUGAUAAUGUAAAUAUAACAUCUUCUAAACACGUUUUAGAUAAAGGCAUUCCAUGUAAAUAUUGCAAAUGAGCAAUAAUGAGCUAUUGUAUCCAGUACAAACAAAGCUCAUUAUUUUGCAACUGAUAAUAACUAAUAAUAAAAUGGAUAUUUCAGUUACUGCUGCACAAUGCAUGAAAGUCUAUGGUGGUCCAGUCACUCCUAUUGUAUUUUUACAGCGAAUAUAAAUAAUUCCAACUAAAGAUACAAAUUGAAGCCUGCUUUCCCCUUAGAAAAUGUAAAUACUUGAAUAUAAAGGCAUCCAAAAAUAAAGCCCACCAGCAUCAAGGUGCACAGCAAUUCUUGCAGAGAUGCAUCUCUGGUUUUUAGAAUUAACACAUACCAGCAACUACCAUUGUACCCAGCUUGUGACUGGCUGCCAGUCCCUGUUGACUGAUCCCACUCAUUAAGCAUUUCACUGAGACAUACAUCGAUGGAUCGCAGUGGCUGCUGCCAGAGCUAAUCAGCAUGAAGGAAGAGGUUAGCGAGUUUUAAUGCCAACAGCCAAAAAUAUUGGAAAUGUUUCCUUAAGUUUUAAAUGCCAAAAUGGCUGAAUAACAUUCUCUGUCUUGACCUCCCAACGUAACAGCAAAAAGUAAAUCUUUCUGUUUUUACAGCUAUUAAGAAUAUUAAAGAAAACAUUUUUAUUCACUGCUCAUGGUCACUGGCUUCAGUCGAAAAGUUAUUUGCUUCAUGGUUAUAUGAAAG
rnacentral:lncRNA from 15 species